UACAGUCCACAAAAGCCCAAAAAAAUAGUUUAAUUUUCCACUGUCCUAUCACCAAUUAUGCCUUGCAAUUUUGUUUUCACAUUUGCUUUGUUGAGUUUGUGUCCCUGGUUGAGUCUAGUUGCUGGUUUUGAUUGUGUUCGUCAUCGUAGUUCAAUUGCACCAUUGCUGUUAUUAGUUUCUGCCGCUAUCCCAUCCACUGUUUCCAAACAACAAGUCAAAGACAUCAUAUUACUCGACUUGCCCCCGCUAGCCGCAUUGUGUGAUCUCUUGCCGCUACGUUAACCCUAGAUAGGUUGCCAGCCACUGUUAUUUUGCCUGCUUCGCAGCCCUCCUUACAUCAUCAGGCGAAUACCUACUACUGUUAGUCACAGGAAUGAUUCAUCAUGUGAUCGGUGUUGGAGUUUAGGGACACUUUGACCUAACUGCCGUUGCCGCCGCCGCCGUGUUGUGUCUUUCGAAAAACAUAACUUGAGAUACCUUAGGUAAAAUAGGCAUAACUUUUCGCUCAUUUAUCAGAAAAAUCUGAAAUUUUUUAGCAGCUUCUUGACACCAUUUGGUCCCGACCCAAACUAGGAUCUGUCCUAUUUUCUCUCGUCAAAAUUGCCAAAAAAAUUCGGGAAAACAAAGAAAAAAAAUUGUUAAGGGUUUUCCACGCGUUUCGGAGAACUUGCUGAAUUUCUGUAGACCACAUCUGACCUCAGUUGUAGGUGCCAAUUUUUGUGGUUACAUAUUUUAUGUUCCUUGUUCAGAGAAAAAUAUAAAAAAAUAGUGGAAAAAUAAAAAAUGUUGAUUCCUACUAGUGCCUUUUGGAAAAAUCUAGGAUAAAUGAGGAUAAAGGAAAACUCUGUCCUAUUGCUUGUUGCGCUACAUCUAGACACGUCUUAGCCAGCAAUUAUGAUUUGUCCUUUGGAUACUUAUUAAACUUAGCUAACUCUGCAUUCGAAUAUUGCUAAUCCUUGCUACUUAUAUUAUGCUUGUCCAAAGCUCCACAUAUACUUUUACCAGCACAGGUUCAUCUUGCAACUGUUUACCCACGCUCAACAACAGAUUGCUUUGUCAAUUUGGUUUAGCUCCUGUUUAGCUUUGGUAAGAACACUUGUAAGAUGGUGAUAAGCCACUUCUGAUUCUGUAUUCCACUUUCACCGCCACCACCACCACUUGGUUCCUUUUAGUUGAAUAGGGAUAAUACUUUGCUGUUGUUUUCCCUAUUUUCUAACCAUGGUUGGAUCUCC
rnacentral:lncRNA from 1 species